rnacentral:rRNA from 1 species
CCUACGGGAGGCAGCAGUGAGGAAUAUUGGUCAAUGGACGAGAGUCUGAACCAGCCAAGUAGCGUGAAGGAUGACUGCCCUAUGGGUUGUAAACUUCUUUUAUAUGGGAAUAAAACGUUCCACGUGUGGGAUUUUGUAUGUACCAUAUGAAUAAGUAUCGGCUAACUCCGUGCCAGCAGCCGCGGUAAUACGGAGGAUCCGAGCGUUAUCCGGAUUUAUUGGGUUUAAAGGGAGCGUAGGUGGAUUGUUAAGUCAGUUGUGAAAGUUUGCGGCUCAACCGUAAAGUUGCAGUUGAAACUGGCAGUCUUGAGUACAGUAGAGGUGGGCGGAAUUCGUGGUGUAGCGGUGAAAUGCUUGGAUAUCACGAAGAACUCCGAUUGCGAAGGCAGUUCACUGGACUGCAACUGACACUGAGGCUCGAAAGUGUGGGUAUCAAACAGGAUUAGAUACCCGUGUAGUC